UGGGGAAUUUUGGACAAUGGGCGAAAGCCUGAUCCAGCAAUGCCGCGUGUGUGAAGAAGGCCUUCGGGUUGUAAAGCACUUUUGUCCGGAAAGAAAUCCUUGGCUCUAAUACAGUCGGGGGAUGACGGUACCGGAAGAAUAAGCACCGGCUAACUACGUGCCAGCAGCCGCGGUAAUACGUAGGGUGCAAGCGUUAAUCGGAAUUACUGGGCGUAAAGCGUGCGCAGGCGGUUUGCUAAGACCGAUGUGAAAUCCCCGGGCUCAACCUGGGAACUGCAUUGGUGACUGGCAGGCUAGAGUAUGGCAGAGGGGGGUAGAAUUCCACGUGUAGCAGUGAAAUGCGUAGAGAUGUGGAGGAAUACCGAUGGCGAAGGCAGCCCCCUGGGCCAAUACUGACGCUCAUGCACGAAAGCGUGGGGAGCAAAACAGGAUUAGAUACCCUGGUAGUCCACGCCCUAAAACGAUGUCAACUAGUUGUUGGGGAUUCAUUUCCUUAGUAACGUAGCUAACGCGUGAAGUUGACCGCCUGGGGAGUACGGUCGCAAGAUUAAAACUCAAAGGAAUUGACGGGGUCAUAGCUGUUUCC
rnacentral:rRNA from 1 species